GUCAGCUCGUGUCGUGAGAUGUUGGGUUAAGUCCCGUAACGAGCGCAACCCUUGUCCUUAGUUACCAGCACGUUAUGGUGGGCACUCUAAGGAGGACUGCCGGUGACAAACCGGAGGAAGGUGGGGAUGACGUCAAGUCAUCAUGGCCCUUACGGCCUGGGCUACACACGUGCUACAAUGGUCGGUACAAAGGGUUGCCAAGCCGCGAGGUGGAGCUAAUCCCAUAAAACCGAUCGUAGUCCGGAUCGCAGUCUGCAACUCGACUGCGUGAAGUCGGAAUCGCUAGUAAUCGUGAAUCAGAAUGUCACGGUGAAUACGUUCCCGGGCCUU
rnacentral:rRNA from 1 species